UUAUCCUAGCCUGUCUGUUAUCCCACGUUGGCUCCACGAAAUUGUCUUGUAUUAACUCUGUACUUUUAUUUUCAUUCGUUCUCAGAUCCGCGCACCUGCCAGCUUCCCCUACACUGUCUUGUUACGUCUCAGGUUCUGUCUCGUUGCAUGUUUGUCGCCUGUCCUGUUAGUUGUCACGUCUUGUCUUGAGAUUGUUUUGUGGUCCUGUCAUUGUCUUGUCAACCCCCUCAAGUUUCCAGCUCGCUGAAUCCAGCUCGCCCUUCGCUGGCCUUCCAGUCCAGUCCAGUCCCGCCCAGUCCAGCCCGGUCCAGCCCAGCCCAGUCCGGUCAAGCCCCACUGUGUAAGUCCAGCUCCACCCUGUCCAGUCGUCGUCUUGCCAGCUCCGUGACAGCUCCACCUCCGGUCCGACUCCAGUUAGCUCCCUGCCACGAUCCAACCCGCGCCGUCACGCGGAACAGCUCCUGCACCUGACUGCACCUACAACCUGCCUCCGCGCCAGCAGCUCCAGUUUCCUCUCUCUCUAUUUGUUCCCAUAACAUGCUAAUAAAUUUCACUGUUGUGAAUCACAGAAGCUGUCUGCGUCGGAGUCCUGCAUUUGGGUUCCCCGUGUCUUGAAUGUAACAACUCCAUCCUUUUCUGCACUGAGACGGAAAGAAAAUUAUAGGAAAAGGAGCCAGGCCAGGACACCAACUGUUCCUGCAGAGAAGGGUCCUCUGAAGAGCAACUGCUGGAGGAGGACGAAGAUAGGGAGGAUGAGGACAGGGAGCAUCUGCAAUCUACGCCGGGAGAGGGUUUGAGGCCAAGAAGGCCAGGGAGACAUUGUUGAAAUCCAAAUUAUCAGUAGAUAGUGUAAAAGGUGAUGACCAGUAAUGCAGAUUAAUGACAGGGCUAAGUUGGUCUGUAUUUCAGUGUCUAAGGAUGUACCUGGAGAAAUUCAUAAAGGUGACCAAUCACCAGCAAUUCAAAUUAUCAACUGAAGAUCAGCUCUUUAUCACAUUGCUGAAACUGCAUCAAAAUGCCCCCACAGCCCUGCUCAGCCAUACCCUGGGCCUUGGACAACCACCGUCAGAGACAUGUUAGCCAGGUGGAUCAAUCUACUCCACGCUGAAAUCAGCUUCCUAGUCCACUGGCCAGACAGGGAGUGUAUCUUCAAAACUAUUCCACCUCAUUUCAGAGCAGAGUUUCCCAGAUUGCCCGCAAUCAUUGAUUGUUUCGAAAUUAGAAUUGAGUCCCCCAAGAAUUUGAAAGCAAGGUAGGUGUCACACAACUAGACAGGAGUCAAAUAUUAUGGAUCUGUUUUGUAGGUGAGUUAGUGGACUAGUGUCACACAUGUUAUUCUAUGUUACAUGAAGUAUAUUGACAAUGGUAAAGUGUACUUUCAACUAAAUGUAUUUGAUACCACUUGCAUACAUCCCAACCAUUUCAAUAUUUAAAAAACAGAUUUGACCCAGGUUUGCGCACAACAAAUCAGUACAGUUUAUUAGAAUAGAAAUGAAUUAUCAAGGAAAGAGUGUCUGUUUAUUUACUCCACUCAUUUGUAUUAUUUUUACAGGGCAAAAACCUACUCCAAUUACAAGAAGUGGACCGUGAAGUACCUGAUUGCAUGCAGUCCAGCAGGGUGCAUCACAUUUCUCAGCAAGGGUUGGGGAGGAUGUGCUUUAAAUGUGAAGAUAUCCAGAGAAUCUGGUUUUCUUACCCACCAGUACCAUCAUCCUGGAGACCAGAUUUUGGCAGACCGUGGCUUCCCUCUGAGGGAUGACUUUGCACUACAGGGAGCACACCUGGUCACCCCUGACUUCACCCACGGACGAAGGCAGCUCUCAGGAAAGGAUGUGGAGGAAUCAAGAGUGAAGUCGAAUGUAAGAAUUCACAUUGAAAGGGUGAUUGGAGUGCUGAAGGGCAGGUUCCACAUCCUUGAUAGGCUGAUUCCCCUUUGAUUGGUGAAGACCCUGAAGGAGGACAGCGAGAGCAAAGAGGCAAUGAUGACUGAUAAAAUUGUUAAUGUUUGUGCUGCACUGGUAAAUAUGAUUGGGAGUGUGGUACACAAAAUGAACACAUAGGUAACACACACAGAUGUAUUUUCAAGCCUUGAGACGUGGAUUGUGUAUAUGUACCAUUCAGGUAAAUGGGAAAGACAAAAGGUUUUUCCUUGUUGAGUGAGUCCAUGUCCUCACAAACUGAGGCUGUUCUUAGGGGGAAAGGAAGUGCAACUCUGUAUUAGGAAGGUGUUCCUAAUGUUUUCUACAUUGUCUGACACGAGAAUGUACAAUGUAAUUGUACAUUCUCGAAGCUUAAAAGUCUUUCUUUAAGCUGUCUCCUCCACUUCUGGCUGUAUAUAUGUUAAGUUACCCUGAAAGUUUCCCAGCUAACUUUAUUAAACAACUACGAUGAACUGGU